GUGCAUUUUCUUGGGGCCUCCCCUGAGUUCCCAGCAAUCACCAGGGGGUACAUACUAUAAUGGCUGAAUUUAUGUGCAACACCUUCCUUUAAGGUCUGAGGUGGUUCCAGAGAGCUACCCGCGGUGCUCUGAGCUCCCUCCUGAAGCCUGGAGGGGCUGCAGCAGAGCGGCUGGAGACCAGCAGGAGGGGACACCCAGACGUUAUUCCAGCUGCAUGUCAUCUGUCCUCUUCAUUCAUCCCCUUCAAAGUGUUCAUAGAUGCUGGGACCCCGAGUCAGGACAAGGAGCAGCUCUCCUGAGGUGGAAGUGAAAGUGGCAAUUAGCCAGAGCCUUUGAGAAAAGCUGCUCGUUAGGCCUGAUAUCUGCAGCCUUAUUUAAAGAGAGUGGUGCGAGCCUGUGCUGCAUGCUGGGAUGUGCUUGGCAGGUGGACGCUUUAAAUGAAAGGUCUCGUGUUGUUGCCUGUAAAAGCUGCAAGUUGCUACAGAUGAAAAGGAAAUCCUCCUUGUCUAUCCAUGCCAGAUCCUGAUAGAUCUCCUUUCAUUUGUCCACAACGAUCCAGGCCUGAAGGCUGAUGCUCUCCCCCCACAUGCAGUUGGUUGCAGUAGUUUGACGUUGUGGUUUGAUGCAGAGAUGAUUUUACAUGGAGGCCCAGAAAAGGUUCAGAUGGGACUCUGGUUGGAAGCUGAAUAUUUUACCUGCUGCAGGUUGGAACUCCAGCCGCCAUCUGGAGGAUGAAGAACCACAGAAGGUUGCUCUUGGCUGUGAGUGAGGCUGCUAUGAACUGAUGGAGGUUUGAAGCCAAAACUGGGAUGCCCUCCUCUGUCAGUUUUCAGGAUAUGUGGAUGGCGUCUGCCGGUCAUCCAGCUGCCCGUUUUCCACCCUCCUUCUGAGCAACACUUUUCCUGUCAAAGAAACCGCACUCGAACGGCUCACACAUGUGGGUCAUUAGAGCCCAGAGAGAAGAGCCGCACCAUUUUCCAAACCUCUGUGUCCAUUUUCACAUUUUGUCCUGGAACUCAGCUCCAGAAGGAAACCCCCAGACGAGAACUACUGAAACACAAUAUCCAGAAUCGCAUGGAAAGCGUGCGGUUUGGCCAAAACUGUUCCCACUGCAGUAAAACCGAUACUCCACUCUGAGGCGGUCCUGCAGGGGUCUUCCACGUCCACACAUCGCUUCCUUUUUGAUUCAUUUUUUUAAGGAUCUACACUUUUCCAAAAGUCAUCCCAAAAAACCCCCCACAAAUUUUAUAUAAAGUUCAAAAAUAUUUAUUUUGGACAAGUGAACACAAGUGUAGAUAACAAAAAUAGACAAUACAAGACAAAAUUAUCUUAUAAACUCUCACCCCCUCUACCUUAAGUCAUGACUUUCCUAAACCCAGUACUUCCAUCACCAUCAAAGUCCAGUGCCCUACCCAAAUGUACAUUCAGUUACAGCUGCACAUGUAAUUCUCAUUUCCAAAAGCACCCAAAUGAAUAAAACAAUCUCAUUUUAUAACCAAGCACAUUUACGAAUGCUGAUGUUCUGUAUUGUUUUGUAUUUGUACAAAUUUAUCAAUGAUCAUAUUUCUGUAUUUAUACUUAAACUCGUUUAUGUUUGGACAUCGUUUCAAGCAUUUACUGGUUCUGUUCCACAGCUUCACUCCAAAAAUUGAAACACAAAAUCUUUUUUUAUUUAUACUUGCUUUAUGUAAGAGAAAUUUAUUUUUUCCCCCUAAAAUGGUAUUUUUCCUCACAUUUAGUAAAAAACCUUUGGAUAUUUUUUUUCUGCCUUAAAUAUUAUUUGAGCUGUACAAUACUCUACUAGACCAUAAAAUGUUAGUAAUUGUGAUUGUAUAAACAAUUUGUUUGUGUGCUCAAGGAAA